AGAACGAACGCUGGUGGCGUGUCUUAUACAUGCAAGUCGAGCGAGGCAGCAAUGCCGAGCGGCGAACGGGUGAGUAACGCGUAAGCAAUCUGCCCCAUAUCAGGAAAUACCCGUGCCAACGCGCGGUUAAUGUCCAGGAGAGUGGCCCUCUGCAUGGAGGGUUGACUAGAGAUUUAUCGGUAUGGGAUGAGCUUGCGUCCGAUUAGCUAGUUGGCGGGGCAACGGCCCACCAAGGCGACGAUCGGUAGCCGGCCUGAGAGGGUGAUCGGCCACAUUGGGACUGAGAUACGGCCCAGACUCCUACGGGAGGCAGCAGUAGGGAAUAUUGCACAAUGGGGGAAACCCUGAUGCAGCAACGCCACGUGGUGGGAAGAAGCAUUUCGGUGUGUAAACCACUGUCAUGAGGGAAUAAGGCCCUUAUCCGUAAGGGAUUGAAUGUACCUUGAGAGGAAGCACCGGCAAACUUCGUGCCAGCAGCGGC
rnacentral:rRNA from 1 species